CUCCUGAGUAGCUAAGAUUACAGGCACCCGCCUCCUUGCCCAGCUAGUUUUUGUAUUUUUAGUAGAGACAGGGUUUCACUAUGUUGGCCAGGCUGGUCUCAAACUCCUGAUCUCAGGUGAUCUGCCCACCUUGGCCUCACAAAGUGCUGGGAUUACUACAGGUGUGAGCCACGGCGCCUGGGCCAAAAGUUAUCUUUUUAGUCAAGUUGAUCAAAAAAUAAAAUUUUGCUUAUUGCUAAUGGAUCUAUUUACAUAAUAAGAAAUUUCUCUAAAUUUAAGUUUAAGAAGGAGAUAAAAAUGUAAGCACCCACAAGUCUCAGUUCUAAGUUAUUUUGCAUGUGAUUUGUGUUUCUGCUAUCUAAAAAAGUGUUCAAAUUUAUUUUGAUAUUUAUAUUGUACCAUCAAUCUUUUAUAUAGAAAAGCAACAAGUAGAUC
rnacentral:lncRNA from 1 species